CUCAGGACAGCCCUCAUUUCUCCCCACAGAGCUGGGGUUAUUUAUCCUGGAGAGGAGGAGGCCCAGCACAGCUCUCAUCGCUCCCCACAGCUCCCUGCCAGGAGGGUGCAGCCAGGGGGGAUCAGGAACAAGAGGACACAGCCUUAAGCUGCUCCAGGAGAGGUUUCGGCUGGACAUUAGGAAGAAAUUCCUCACAAAGGGUGGUCAGGUGUUGCAAUGAGCUGCCCAGGGAAGUGGAGUCACCGUCCCUGGAGGUGUUUAGGAAAGACUGGAUGUGGCACUCAGUGCCAUGGCCUGGGUGCCAAGGUGGUGCUGGGUCAUGGGUUGGACUUGACUCGAGGUCUUUUCCAAUUGUCUCUGUGACUGUCUCUCUGAGAAGCUGUAUUCAAUUGCGGGUAAUUGGUAGUGCUCUGGUUUCCCGUGGCUUUCUGCCUAUUCAUUUGUGUUGGGUCUGCACAACUGCUUUAUAAACGUGGAAAUGUGCUUGGGAGCUGAUGAGCUUCCAAUGCAAAAUAAAACCUACAGUGCUUGUAGAUCUCACACACUAGAACUGUAGGGCUUUCUGUGGAGCUCUGGUUCAGGUUUGCAUGUAGUAGUGAAAUUAAAACUUGGCACUACUUUCAGGCUCAUUUAGAGAAAUUGUCCCUAGGUAAUGUAACAAUUAAAGGACCAAAUUAUCCUUCAGUGCUUGCAUUCUUCAAAAAAAGGCAAAUAUUUUAGAAUCCUGUAGCAGUCAAGAGGUACCAGUGAAGUCAGCUGGCCUAGAAAUUAUUUCAUGUGUCCUUGGUAUGAAAAUGCAUUGAAGUUUCACAACAAAAAGGCAAACAUAACUUACUGUGACCUGUUUUCUAGCCUUGGGACAAGAUUAAAUUUGAACUGGUGACAGGUAUCAGAGUAUUUGCUUAAGCAAACAGAGUAAAAGUUAAGUCUUUUGGAAGGUUCAGUCACCCAUUUCUGCAUGAUUUGCAUGAUAAAAUCUCAAAGAGUGGAAUAGAAACACUUUUCAUAUGUAAAGUAACAAUCAUCAAGUUCUUCCAGAAUGUUCUAUCUUCCUACUGAAAUGUUCUGCAGAUUUUUCUGUAAGUUAGGUGGAGUAAAAAGGCAAAUUUAUCAUCUUAAAGGCAGUUUUCUGAUGGUAUCCCAAACAGAUUAAGCUACAAUUGCAUUUCCUUAAUCCAAACAUUUUGAAAGUAAAAUUGCUUUUACUUGAAGUUCUGUCACUACUGAUGCCACAAUAUUUUGUUUACUAGCAGAGCAGUUCUAGUCAGAGGCCACAAGUAACUUUUUUUUUUGGUCUUUUUGUCUCUCCUUGCAAAUCCUCUCAAUUUCCUAAUGACAAACUUAUUCCUGUUUUUUAAUAAAUUUUUCAUGGUGUAGACUUAGAGUUAUUUUUAGCUAUUUCUUGGCUAUUGUCCCCAAAUACUUAAGAGAGGUCUUAGUCCUGGAUUGUCCUGUUUGUACUUCUAAAGAUUAGUUUUUUUCUCUGACCUCUGAAACGUCCUUAUUUUUUCAGUGACUUGCAGAUAAUGAGCCUUGGCAAUGAGAUCUUCAGAUGUCUCGUGGGGCUCCAGGAUGCUGAUUCAGUCAAAGUAACAUCCAGUCAGGCUUUGCAUGGCAUGAGGCAGAAACAGGAUUUUCUAGCAUGGUGCACUCUGUGCAGAACAAAGAGGGAAGCAGCUGUUUAAGCUUUAGAGGAGAUGACUCUGUUGACUACUCCAU